rnacentral:rRNA from 1 species
AGAACGAACGCUGGCGGCAGGCUUAACACAUGCAAGUCGAACGAACGUAGCAAUACGUUAGUGGCGCACGGGUGAGUAACACGUGGAUAUCUGCCUUUUGGUUCGGGAUAACCCUGGGAAACUAGGGCUAAUACCGAAUGGUUCCUACGGGAUAAAGAUUUAUCGCCAAAAGAUGAGUCCGCGUCCGAUUAGCUAGUUGGUGAGGUAAUGGCUCACCAAGGCGACGAUCGGUAGCUGGUCUGAGAGGACGAUCAGCCACACUGGGACUGAGACACGGCCCAGACUCCUACGGGAGGCAGCAGUGGGGAAUAUUGGACAAUGGGGGCAACCCUGAUCCAGCCAUGCCGCGUGAGUGAUGAAGGCCUUCGGGUUGUAAAGCUCGUUUUGGCGGGGACGAUGAUGACGGUACCGCAGAAUAAGCCCCGGCUAACUUCGUGCCAGCAGCCGC